rnacentral:lncRNA from 1 species
UUACACCUCAAAAUAUGUUUUGGACGCACAAUAAAUAACAUAUAUACAUGUAUAUAUAUAAUAAGCAAUAUAUAUAUGUAUAUAUAUAUAUUGGGGCAUCAUAAUUUGAUUAACGAUAAAUAUCAUGGGAUUAAUAAUCUCAUCAAUAUCGCCAUCUCCAUCAGAAACAGUAGUACUAAAGGAAGACGGAGACGGCGAAUUUGCUCAUGAUGGAAAGAUAACAAUGGUGGUGCUUGUCUCUCUUUUAUCUGCUUUUCUUAUCUUCAUCCUUUUCUUUCAGUUUGUACGACGUCGCUUCUACUUGCCAAACGUAACUUAGUGGCUACUACUCUUGGCUACCGCUAGUAGAUCUGUAGUAGUGACUAGCUAGUGAGCAAAGGCGGCCUAAAUAUUUGCAAUUAUGCUCACAAUUUAACAUUAUUAAUUUAUAAGUUGAAUUUAUCUCUACUUAAUUAGUUUCUCCUUUUUUCCUUGCAU